rnacentral:lncRNA from 1 species
AUGUCUGCACAACAAGAACGGAGAUCCAGUGGCAGAUCCAACAAGGCCAGCUCGGCAUCCUCAGAUUCAGGCGAGGAAGGCAAGGACGAGCCCAUACAAACCGACCAGGGUUCCUCAGGGCUGGACCAGGUUUCCCAAAAAUCAGUCCAUGCUGAGCAACAGGGUAAGUGGAUGCCACGGGAUGCUUGGGGCUGUAUUAAGUUGGCAUUUUGUUUUUGUCAAAGGAAAAUUUCUUUCUUGGAUUCAAGGACAAUACAGACUACAAGAGUUUAUUAAGAAGCAGGCAAAAGCAUCAAAGAAAUAAAUGCUAACCUAGCAAGUUUGUGCCUCAAUCAACUCCUGGAAGUUGUUUUGGCUAAUGUAGAUUAGCUUGGACUCGGGCAUGGGCCAACUUGGGCCCUCCAGGUGUUUUGGACUCCCAACUCCCACAAUUCCUAACAGCCUACCGGCUGUUAGGAAUUGUGGGAGUUGGAGUCCAAAACACCUGGAGGGCUGAAGUUGGCCCAUGCUUGCCUUAACUCAUUCCUAUGUACUCCCUUUUCCAGGCCUCCAAGUGAAAGGCUUUUUCUAUGGCUGUACUCCAGCGCAGUUUCGGUGCCACGCGGUGCCCCACAUCAUCGGCCCCACCUCCCAAUGCGCAGACAUGGAGAGCAUCAACUCAGGUGAGGAAGGUGUUUUCUCUCCAACCCCUUUGACUUCUGGUUUCUCUUCUGCCCACUCCAUUUAAGAGACUUGUGGUCCAAAGAAAGUAGUUCUUCCAAGCUUUGGGUCUGUUGCACCUCAGAAUAGUUCACCUUGUUAAGACACUCAGUCAGACACAGAAGACAGUCUUUUGAAGUUUUAUUGAGCAAAAGGAAAUAUAUAAAUCAAAGCAGGCAGUUGAAAGGUUUUUCAAAGUUGCAGUAAAAGAGUCAAUAGGAAUCCAAAUAGUACAUAAGUCAUGAAAAUCCAUUAGUCCAUAAACCAUAGCAGUCUAAUAAUCCAUAAGGCAAAGGCAGUAGUCAGUAGAUCCCAAAAACAAGGCCCAAAAGUUCAUAGAUCAAGGAAGACAUUUCCUAAGCAUGAAACAAGAACAUCCACACAGAUGAAGCGAGGAUUUGCUUUGACAACGAGCUAUCUGCAAACACACACUUUUAAAAGCACCCGAGAAAUGCAUUUCUUUUCCCAGAACUGGCCUCUUUCUUUCCCGCUAGCCUCUCACUCCUAGGGACCCGAGAACCUCUCCAUAACAGAUGGUUCGCCCUAGAUAGAUCAAGGUCUUCGUUAUCUUGCACCUGAACCAGGACUUGAGAGCUCUCUUGCUCAUUAAUUCCCAUGGGAAUGUCAUCCUGGCUGUUAUCUAUGGCUUCUGGGGUCAACAGUUUAUUCUACUCAAACUGCAAUUCUCCAGCCUCUGAUUCAGCCUACAUUCCCAUGCCAUCAUCUUCUGGCUCUUGUAUCUGAAACCCAGAAUCCCCUUCUUCAUCCUGACUCUGGCUAUACUGUGGCUGAGUCACAACAGGGUCCAACAGAAAGUGCCUUGCACUGAACUUAGAAACAGUGUAUUGCACAAUGUGUUGCGAGUUGAUGGUGAUUGAUUGAUGUGCCCGUGAGCCCAGAGUCACCCUGCAGAAUGAGGACGCACCACUCAGUUUUGCAGAACAAAUAAUACAGGAACUUUACCGAUUCCAAGAGAUCAACAGAACAAUGGUAUUCACAAUAGUCCCUUCUCAUUGCUUACAGAAAUCGGUAGUCAUAAGCAGUCCUUUCUCAGUCCAUAAAUCUGCUUCAGUGAGGAAUACAGUCCUGGUUCUCCAUCCUCUUUUUCAGUAGCAAACAAGGCCUCAGAAAUAGCAUGGCCUCUCUGAGUACAGAGCCAUCUUCCCCAGGCAGUACUCAGUCAGGAGGCACACACUGAACAAGAACCUGUUUAAAUUGGUUCACAGCAGCAGAACAGAAAAAAGUAUCAAAUCAAAUUUUUUUUUUUUAUUUACAGUAUUUAUAUUCCGCUCUUCUCACCCCGAAGGGGCCUUGGCGGAUCACAUUAUAUACAUAUAGGGCAAACAUUCAAUGCCCAUAUACACAUAGAACCGAGACAGAGACAAUGUGUUGUCGAAGGCUUUCAUGGCCGGGAUCACAGGGUUGUUGUAUGUCUUUCGGGCUGUGUGGCCAUAUCACAGGAGUAUUCUCUCGUGACGUCUCACCAUAGAUGUGGGCAAAACGUCAGGAGAGAUUACUUCUGGAACAUGGUCACACAGCCCGAAAAGACAUACAACAACCCUAAGACAGAGACAGACGCAGAGCAAUUUCACCUUCUCCUGAAGGGGAUGUUCGAUUCUGGCCACAGGGGGGAGCAGCUGCUUCAUCAUCCACUGUGACUGCACUUCCUCAUUCCAACGUCAUAAAUUAGUUAAAUUUGCCUCCCCACUUUAUAAGUGGUACCUUAUUUCCUACUUGAUAGAUGCAACUAUCUUUCGGGUUGCUAGGUCAGCAACGAGCAGGGGCUAUUUUUUAUUAUCUUUUAAUUGACACGUGCUCACCCCGCCACAAGCUGGCCUCAAACUCAUGACCUCAUGGUCAGAGUGAUUUAUUGCAGCAGGCUGCUCACCAGCCUGCACCACAGCCCGGCCCUAUUCCUAGGUCUUUGCAGGCUCAGCCAGUCAGCUUCAUGCACUUCAUUUUCCAGUUAACAGACAUGUAGCACAGUGUCUUUGCAAACCAUGACACUAUGCACUGUGUCUGGUUUGAAAGUGUUAUUUCCUGUUCAGCCUAACUUUGACGAUUGCCUGUGAUGUGUAUGUUUGGGUAUGUUGUACAUAGAAGGACUGUAAAUAAAGAUAAAGGCCACUCAGUUUGAGCAGAUAUAUUUGCAGCUGGUUUAUUGGAAAGGCAGCAGCGCUUUGGUCGGAUAAAUAACAUGACAAGUUCCCCAGUA